GGGGGCGAUUUGGCUUCGACGGGGGUGAGGUAGGUUUGAUAAGCGAGCUAGGGUAAGCAUGGAACCCUAUGAACAGCUAUGCACUAAAUGUAAACGCAGAAGAAAAUAAUUUUGCAUUAGCUGCUUAGGCAGCUUCGUUCUACCUGAGAGUCCCACGACUUAGGAUAGGGCGUCAAUUAGUGGGGAACCGAGCUUAGGAAAGCUUUGACCUAAGAACGGAAUUUAUGAAGCUACUGAAGUAAGAAUCUCGUUGCUAGGAGUCUUAUGGAGGGAAUGUUAAAAUAGCAACUGCGCUCGGAGAAAGUCAAGCAGAUCUGCUUUCGGACACGGGUUCGAUACCCGUCGCCUCCACCA
rnacentral:tmRNA from 1 species